GGGAAGGUGGCUCAGUGGUAGAGUGCUUGCCUUGCAUGCAUGAGGCCCUGGAUUUGAUUCCUAAGUACCCCA
rfam:Dipodomys ordii contig_155, whole genome shotgun sequence.